AGUGAACGUUGGCGGCGUGGAUUAGGCAUGCAAGUCGUGCGGAAAGGCCCCGCAAGGGGUACUCGAGCGGCGUAAGAGAUAGUAACACGUGGGUUACCUACCCCCCGGCCCGGGAUAGCCACGGGAAACUGUGGGUAAUACCGGAUAACGUCUCCGGACUAAAGGUGUGAUUCCGUCGGAGGAGGGGCCCGCGUCCUAUUAGCUAGUUGGUGAGGGAACGGCCCACCAAGGCAAAGAUGGGUAGCGGGUGUGAGAGCAUGACCCGCAUCACUGGGACUGAGACACUGCCCAGACACCUACGGGUGGCUGCAGUCGAGAAUCUUCGGCAAUGGGCGCAAGCCUGACCGAGCGACGCCGCGUGCGGGAUGAAGGCCCUCGGGUUGUAAACCGCUGUCAGGGGGGAGGAAAUUCCAUGGGGUUCACCCCGUGGUUUGACCUAUCCUCAGAGGAAGUACGGGCUAAGUUCGUGCCAGCCGCCGCGGUAAAAC
rnacentral:rRNA from 1 species